rnacentral:rRNA from 1 species
CGCUCCUCGCUGAAUAUUUUGGUGUAUGAGGAGUCCUGCCUGCCCAGUGACUUUUGUGGUUAAACGGCCGCGGUAUUUUGACCGUGCGAAGGUAGCAUAAUCAUUUGCCUCUUAAAUAGAGGCUGGUAUGAAUGGCAAGACGGGAGUUUGACUGUCUCUUUUUUAGAAAAGUUGAAUUUUAUUUCUUUGUGAAGAAGCGAAGAUGUGAUCGUAGGACGAGAAGACCCUGUCGAGCUAAAGAAGUGGGUGAUAAGUAUCGGAAGUAUUCUUUUGCUAAUUUAUUAUAUGGUAAUAGUUAAUUUUACUUGAGAUAUGAGUAUACUAUGUAAUUUCUUUUUUGAUUGGGGCAAUCGCGGAGAAUAAGAAACCUCCGUUGUAAGUUAAUAUUUAAAGGAACUUCUUUUGUAGUAUAAAAAUAUGUGUUUAUGAUCCACUGGAAAGUGAGCGAAGGAACAAGUUACCGCAGGGAUAACAGCGUAAUUUUUUUGGAGAGUUCAUAUUGAUAAAAAAGUUUGCGACCUCGAUGUUGGAUCGGGAUUUCCAGGAGAUGCAGAAGUUUCCAAGGGUUGGUCUGUUCGACCAUUAAAAUCCU